ACAUAGGUAAAGUGGCCGAGUGUUAUAUGGCAGUAGGCUGUAAAUCUACUUACGGAGGUUUGAUUCCUUCCUUUAUCA
rnacentral:tRNA from 3 species